UUGGUACAGCUCCCUCCCCAAAAGCCCCCACCUCUCCCAACGCGAAAUUGGAACUGUUCCCAAGUCCCCGAGUAGGUACAGCCUCCUACGCUGGGUAAGGCGCGCCCCUUCGAUGGCUUAGCGCUCGCCCACCAGGCACGCUCUCACUUCACACCCCACGAGUUCUACCCCAAGCCCGUGUACACAUGCUAGGGCGCGCGUCCCUAGCCCUUCAGUGGUUCGGGCCUCGCACUUAGGUAGGCGCCCCCCCCCCCGCCGCUUCAAUGGUACGACCCGCCGCCCCCGCCUCUGGCCCCUCAGGGCUAGAACUACCGCCCCCGCGCAGCUGCCCCACUCGGUCCCGGAAGGGGGGGCUCUAGGACCAAGAUCCCCGCCCGGCAGGCACUGGUGCCCAUCCCCCUACCUCUAAGUCUUCUUGGGCCGCUCAAAUCCCAGCCCCUCCUAGGGCACAGGAUGGAUUAUCUCACUGAAACCUCCAGUGCACUUGUGUCUGAACUGUUGGAGUCCUAGUAGUCAAAGGCCACCAGGAAGGGCAUCAUCGUCAUUUUGUUGGAGCAUCAUCCUCAUACCCCAAGAUUGCCAGUUUGAUCUCUGGCCAGGGUACAUACAAGAGUCAACCAAGAGUGGGAGACAGGGGAGAGACACAAGAAAGAAAAACAUUGAUUGAUUGCCUCCCACAUGUGCCUGACUGGGCCCGAGGAGACUGAGCCUGCAACUGAGCAUUAUUCACAGUGGCCAAGACAUGGAAACAACCCUAGUGUCCUUCGAUAGAAGAUUGGAUAAAGAAGAUGUGGUACAUAUAUACAAUGGAGUACUACUCAGCCAUAAGAAAAGAUGAAAUAUUGCC